rnacentral:tRNA from 1 species
GAGGUGUUCAGCUCCAUAAGGCAGAGCAAUACACUUUUAAUAUAUUGGCUGUGGGUUCAAAUCUCAUUCAUGUCG